UACAGAGAGUGCAAACGUUGUUCGGAAUCACUGGGCUUAAAGGGCGCGUAGGCGGGUGCUCAAGUCCGGGGUGAAAUCCCACAGCUCAACUGUGGAACUGCCUCGGAUACUGGGUGUCUCGAGGGUGGCAGGGGUAUGCGGAACUAUCGGUGGAGCGGUGAAAUGCGUUGAUAUCGAUAGGAACUCCGGUGGCGAAGGCGGCAUACUGGUCCACUUCUGACGCUGAGGCGCGAAAGCCAGGGGAGCAAACGGG
rnacentral:rRNA from 1 species